rnacentral:rRNA from 1 species
AUUGAACGCUGGCGGCAGGCCUAACACAUGCAAGUCGAGCGGAUGAAGGGAGCUUGCUCCUGGAUUCAGCGGCGGACGGGUGAGUAAUGCCUAGGAAUCUGCCUGGUAGUGGGGGAUAACGUCCGGAAACGGGCGCUAAUACCGCAUAAGUCCUGAGGGAGAAAGUGGGGGAUCUUCGGACCUCACGCUAUCAGAUGAGCCUAGGUCGGAUUAGCUAGUUGGUGGGGUAAAGGCCUACCAAGGCGACGAUCCGUAACUGGUCUGAGAGGAUGAUCAGUCACACUGGAACUGGGACACGGUCCAGACUCCUACGGGAGGCAGCAGUGGGGAAUAUUGGACAAUGGGCGAAAGCCUGAUCCAGCCAUGCCGCGUGUGUGAAGAAGGUCUUCGGAUUGUAAAGCACUUUAAGUUGGGAGGAAGGGCAGUAAGUUAAUACCUUGCUGUUUUGACGUUACCAACAGAAUAAGCACCGGCUAACUUCGUG